UUGCGGUGAUUGCUGGAAUGGGAACGCUAUAGGGCAUCGACCCGCGAGGCUCUACCUCCUUUGGGUAUAUUAAUCUGCUCCUAAAAAACCGAUCUUUUUCUCCGAUUCCCCGCUCAUCUCCUCUUCUCUCGCAAAACCCUAAGCCCUUGGCGUCUUCCUUCGUUCGUUCGCACUUGUUUCUUGGGUUUUUCUCGAGGGAACUACGGAGCGAGGGAGGAGGGAUCGAGGUCCGCUAAUGGCGGUCGCUUGUCCGAAGCGCGGGGUAGCCGCGGGGGGAAUUGUGUGGCUUCAUGCGGAGGAGGUUGUUUCGGGGGGCGUAGCCGAGGGAGGCAGGAGGCCGACAUUCGUGAGCGGGAAUCUGGGGCGUACGAGCGCGGCGCUGGGCGGCGGAACGAUCGAGGUCCGUUUGCCGAGGAAUGCAGCAGGAACGGAGCUCGUUCCCUUCCAAUCGGUAGCGAAACAGCCUUCGUAAAGUUUCAAGGUCCUCGAAUUCUUGGUGCGCAGAUCCAGAGCGGAGAAGUGUAAGGAGAUUAUAGAUCUGUGAGCUGAAGACUUGGAUUCGAAGCGGCAGGCGAGAUUAGAACUUUUCCGCUCUCAAGAGAGAGUGCUUUCAAAAAACGUCCGAAUUCGAGGCUUGCUGCUGCCUGCGUCCGAUUCUGCUGCGGUGCGUGCAGGCUGCAGUGCUGAUCGCUGUCCGCCUGAGGGAGAGCAGUGAAAGGGAUAGAGAGAGAGAGAGAGAGAGAGAGCCGGAGACCAGCUCAUCGCUCCAGGUGUUGCUAUGAUAUCGCUGUGGAAAGCUGAGGCUAGGAGCUGACAUCUCCGGCCACCAACGCCAUCUCGAGUGUCCAAAAGGUGACACCUUUCUCUCUUGUUCCUCUCUCUCUCUCUCUUUUAUCCCAUCAGUACUGCACUGUGAAUUUCGUCAUCAAUGCUGAAGGAAUAGCGCCCACCGACCUCAGAAACCCUAGCCCGAGAGCGCAGCCGAGCUGCUUGCCUCGGUCUCUCGCGCUCUUUCCCCAAAAGGUGACCUUGGGAUAAGAAAGGAGCGGUUUGCGGAGGUGACAGGAACGAGCUCAACCCACGCACCCACCCAGUCUCGGCCCGGAAAAGGCAUGAAAGCGGGAUGGAGGUGGAGGAGCACCACGCCUGCAAGCGAUCCCGCGGGUCGGUAACGGCACCGCCAGCCGCAGCCAGGCGGCCAGGAUAGGUUGCAAGGCCCCUGCACCAGGAGGACGACGACGAGGAUGGAGAAGGGAGGGGCGGUGGCGGCGCCACCCGUGAGAGCCUCGUCAUGCCUUGGCACCACCCAUCCUCCAGGAUCUUCCGAGUCUCUCGGGCCGCCGGCGGCAAGGACCGCCACAGCAAGGUGUACACCGCCAAGGGCCUCCGGGAUCGAGGGUCCGCCUCUCGGUGUUCCACUGCCAUCCCAGCUUCUAUGACCUCCAGGAUCGUCUUUCGGUUUUGACCAGCCCGAGCAAGGCCGAUCGGAGUGGCUGAUCAAAGCCGCUACUUGCCGCCAUCAACGAGCUCCCGGCUCUAGACGGCACCUUCCCGGAGGCUCCCAAGCCUCAUCGUCCCGAAGAGAAGCUGAUGGACGAGCCCGAUGCUGAGGCGGAGCCCAGCUUCAGCCAGCCAAGCAGCAGCAGCCAUCUUUCCCACUCUCCAAGUCCGGCUGCAGCAGCACCUCCGAGACCAGCAAGGGCUCGGUCCUCUCCCUCCUCCCGGUCCGAGAUCCGCGUCAAGGCGCGAGAACGUGCCCGGGAAAGGCCAAGGACAAGGAGGACCGAGACGAAUGGCCAUGUCGCUGUCUCCCAUCACCAGAACGUCAACCCCCAGCCUCAACUCUCAGACCUCCUUCACCGAGCUUCUCACCGGCAGCAGCAGCAAUGGCACCGCAGUUGCGGCUGCGCAGGCGAAUUCCGCUGUUAAUUGCAUCCAGAAGCAAAUGCGUCGCCUGACGACGGUCACCACCACUCGCCGAUUACUUUGGCCAAGCAGGUCUGGUUUCCCCAGGCACAGAAGGCUCAGCAGCUGCCAUCGGGGUUCUCGUCCCAAGCCCACUUUGGGAACAGCUCUCCCAUGGGAAUGGUGCCGUUCAACGUCGUAGCCGCUGCAGCGGCAGCUGGAGACCAUUCGGAGAUGCAGCAGUUCUCUUUCCUGCAGGACCAUCUCAUGCCCCGCCUCGGCCGUGGCAGCUGCAGCCGGAGACUAUAACCUCAACUUCCCCAUCUCUUCUGGUCUUGCAGGUUUCAACAGGGGGACCCUUCAGUCCCAAUUCACAAUCUCAGUUGCCUCACCACCACCUCCAGAGGCUCUCUUCUCCGGUAGACGGAUCAAAUCUGUCCUUCUUUGCCUCUGCUGCUUCAGCUGCAGCCGCCACUUCCACGGAGAACCAGUUCUCGGCUGGCUUUGAUGGUCGCCUUCAACUCUUCUACGGCGAUGGCUACCGGCAUUCAGACCUGAAGGGGAAAGGGAAGAGCUGAGACUUUCUUUGCCACCUUCUUCUUGCUGUUGCAGGAAUGGAAGACAGCAACCAUGGUGAACUCAAGCACUUCGCACACAAGGCAUCUGAAAUAUGAUAUUAUAUUAAUGCUGUUAUUAGAACUAUUUUUGCUGUAUUCAUGAGCCGUAUGAUUUUAUCUUUUGUGUGGAUUGAGGGUUAUACCUCAUCAUCAGAACCAUAUACAAUUUCUUGCGUAACUUCUUAUUGCUGUCCUGAAUUCAUUAAGCUGUGGAUCUGAGAUAUUUGGAGCUAAUUGAAGUGCAGCGGAUUUGUUCGUUCAUGUUGCUCUAAAUGUCAUCGAACGCAUAUCAUAGACCCGAACAGGGUGUAAAGUGUGGUGCUUGUCCUGGUGGUUGAUCAUGCCUGGUUGUUUAUUGUUGUGCUUUGAAGGCUCCCAUCCGUACUGUUUGGUUUGUGAAUGGAACUCUACAGUAUCCACGCAAGAGUUUCAACAUGCUGAAAAGCCUUCCUGUAAGCUUGAAAAAUUGGUUGGUUGGUGAAUUAUUGGUACUAUUGCAAUUUUGGAAAAAUGCUCCAUUCUACUGUUUUUUCUAAUGGUAUUGAAUUACUAUUAUCUUAAUCUCCUUGUAUUAUUCGGGUUCUACUCACUGCUAAACGUUAAGCUCCCAACUUUGGCCAUAUAUUGAUUUCAUACGCAUGAUUAGUUCCAAUGCUUUCCAUGCAGAAUGUUCGGAGCUCAUUCUGUCGCAUAUCAAUUUCAUUGAUAUGAUGUUCGCGAGCAGCGCUCCUGAUUAGUUCCAACGUGCGCCACGACGACCGCAGCCACGAGACCUUACAUCCUAUGUUGCUCUAAAAUAGCAUCUCUAGUACUCUUCUAAAUCACAGGCUUCUCAUCACGAUCAAAUAAUCCAUCCUCAAGCAUUAAAAAGGAGAAAUAGCCAGACAUGACCCCAGAAAAAAGCAACAAUGUUACAGAUUACACCCACAAGUCUAUUUGCUGGUUUAUAUAGCAAUCUAGUGUUGCUGAGAUAUCAGCGUAAACAAAAGACAAAACUAAAAUAAACAAGUUUGUAAAUUAAAAGGUUGUCUUUGGUUCUUAAUGGUAGUUUACAACCUGAAAAUUCAGACGGACACUACAUGAGGUUACAAGAUCACGACAAUUUUUGAAAAAUUAAAACUUGAUACAAGUUCGGUAGAAGAAUAACUGAUAGAUUGAUCAGUGCAAGCAUGCUAAUGCACCAAAUACAACAUAUACGUUCACUAAAAAACCAUAUCCAGAAGGAACAAUAUUGACACUGUAACGUGAGGUGGGGUAGAGAAUAAUAGAGACUGCUCUAACUGCCCCUUAUGUAUUUACUUAAACAAGGGGACCCGGAAAACGGGAGCAUGUUGCAUGUCAGUUCAUGAAGGUGAUGUUGCAGCCCAUAAUCAUUGCAGCAGCAAGAGGUGAGAGUGAAGGAGUUGAUCACAAUCAGAUAAUGGUCUCUCUUGUUAUCUACCUCCAAGGAGUCACUCCCCAUCUCU